rnacentral:rRNA from 1 species
AUUGAACGCUGGCGGCAGGCCUAACACAUGCAAGUCGAACGGCAGCACAGAAGAGCUUGCUCUUUGGGUGGCGAGUGGCGGACGGGUGAGUAAUGUCUGGGAAACUGCCCGAUGGAGGGGGAUAACUACUGGAAACGGUAGCUAAUACCGCAUAACGUCGCGAGACCAAAGUGGGGGACCUUCGGGCCUCACACCAUCGGAUGUGCCCAGAUGGGAUUAGCUAGUAGGUGGGGUAAUGGCUCACCUAGGCGACGAUCCCUAGCUGGUCUGAGAGGAUGACCAGCCACACUGAAACUGAGACACAGUCCAGACUCCUACGGGAGGCAGCAGUGGGGAAGAUUGCACAAUGGGCGCAAGCCUGAUGCAGCCAUGCCGCGUGUAUGAAGAAGGCCUUCGGGUUGUAAAGUACUUUCAGCGGGGAGGAAGGCGGUGAGGUUAAUAACCUCGCCGAUUGACGUUACCCGCAGAAGAAGCACCGGCUAACUCCGUGCCAGCCGCCGCAGUAA